GGUUGUCCCUGUUUUUUUUUUGUAGGACACUGGUGAAGCAGGGAAGCUUCGAAGAUCCAGGAUGAAGUGUGCACAUUUUAAUGGAAAAGAUUUUUAACCUGGCCUGGUUUUGCUUUUAAAAUAAACUGAGGAUGUUGGAGGGAGGACUCAUUCUUAUUGGGAUGUGAGUGGAUGUGCUGGAAGGCAGGAAAACAAACACUGGACUGGAGACUCUCUGUGCCCCUGACAAGGAAACUGGACCAGUUUUGGGGAAGUUCCAGCUCCCAGGAUGUGAUGUGGAGACCCAGCCUCGAACGAAGUCAGGCCUGAAAAGGCUAACAACCCUGACCGCGGUGGCUUUGGGCCUUGGAUUCCUGGCCAGAGUUGUGUCUUCAGCCAGUAGUUUUACCCGGAGAAAGAACAAAUAAAUCUUGUGUAACCCA